UACGUAGGGCGCAAGCGUUGUCCGGAAUUAUUGGGCGUAAAGAGCUCGUAGGCGGCCUGUUGCGUCCGCUGUGAAAUCCCGGGGCUCAACCCCGGGCGUGCAGUGGAUACGGGCUGGCUGGAGGCAGGCAGGGGAGAACGGAAUUCCUGGUGUAGCGGUGAAAUGCGUAGAGAUCGGAAGGAACGUCAAUGGCGAAGGCAGCCACCUGGCAUAAUACUGACGCUGAGGCGCGAAAGCGUGGGGAGCGAACAGG
rnacentral:rRNA from 1 species